AGAAGAUGAAGUCUCCCCCACACCUCCUAAUUGCUCAAUUCAUCCUUGUGAGGCUCCCUUCUUUCGGCCUAGAGCAUUUUCCUAACUACACCCCCAAUUUUUAGCUUAUUUUUAUCUUUUGUAUAUAUUUUUUAUUUAUUAUUUUAUUAUUAUUGUUUUAUUUAUUUAUUUUUGUUAUUUCCUUUAGUUUUUUUAAUUCUUUUACCUAUUGCAUUGAUAGUGUGCCCCCUCUCUUUUAUUAUUUCUUUUACCUUU
rnacentral:lncRNA from 1 species